UACAGAGGGUGCGAGCGUUGUCCGGAAUCACUGGGCGUAAAGGGCGCGUAGGUGGCGCAACAAGUCAGUGGUGAAAGCUCGACGCUCAACGUCGAGUCGGCCACUGAGACUGUUGGGCUUGAGCACUGUAGAGGCUAAUGGAAUUCCGGGUGUAGCGGUGGAAUGCGUAGAGAUCCGGAAGAACACCGGUGGCGAAGGCGGGUCUCUGGGCCGAAAUUGACGCUGAGGAGCGAAAGCGUGGGGAGCAAACAGG
rnacentral:rRNA from 1 species